rnacentral:tRNA from 1 species
GGGGCAGUAGCUCAGUGGUACAGCUCCGGCUUCUCAUGCGGGAAGACCUGGAUUCGAUUCCAGGCUACUUUC